rnacentral:rRNA from 1 species
AAAGGGCUCGUAGGCGGUUCGUCGCGUCCGGUGUGAAAGCCCAUCGCUUAACGGUGGGUCUGCGCCGGGUACGGGCGGGCUGGAGUGCGGUAGGGGAGACUGGAAUUCCCGGUGUAACGGUGGAAUGUGUAGAUAUCGGGAAGAACACCAAUGGCGAAGGCAGGUCUCUGGGCCGUCACUGACGCUGAGGAGCGAAAGCGUGGGGAGCGAACAGGAUUAGAUACCCUGGUAGUCCACGCCGUAAACGGUGGAUGCUGGAUGUGGGGCCCGUUCCACGGGUUCCGUGUCGGAGCUAACGCGUUAAGCAUCCCGCCUGGGGAGUACGGCCGCAAGGCUAAAACUCAAAGAAAUUGACGGGGGCCCGCACAAGCGGCGGAGCAUGCGGAUUAAUUCGAUGCAACGCGAAGAACCUUACCUGGGCUUGACAUGUUCCCGACGGCCGUAGAGAUACGGCCUCCCUUCGGGGCGGGUUCACAGGUGGUGCAUGGUCGUCGUCAGCUCGUGUCGUGAGAUGUUGGGUUAAGUCCCGCAACGAGCGCAACCCUCGCCCUGUGUUGCCAGCACGUCAUGGUGGGAACUCACGGGGGACCGCCGGGGUCAACUCGGAGGAAGGUGGGGAUGACGUCAGAUCAUCAUGCCCCUUACGUCCAGGGCUUCACGCAUGCUACAAUGGCCGGUACAGCGGGAUGCGACAUGGCGACAUGGAGCGGAUCCCUGAAAACCGGUCUCAGUUCGGAUUGGAGUCUGCAACCCGACUCCAUGAAGGCGGAGUCGCUAGUAA